rnacentral:rRNA from 1 species
AGAAUCAACGCUGGCGGCGUGCCUAACACAUGCAAGUCGAACGAGAAAGUGGAGCAAUCCAUGAGUAAAGUGGCGCACGGGUGAGUAACACGUGACUAACCUACCCUUGAGUGGGGGAUAACCUAGGGAAACCUGGGCUAAUACCGCAUAAUACCUUCGGGUCAAAGGAGCAAUUCGCUUAAGGAGGGGGUCGCGGCCGAUUAGUUAGUUGGCGGGGUAAUGGCCCACCAAGACUAUGAUCGGUAUCCGGCCUGAGAGGGCGCACGGACACACUGGAACUGAAACACGGUCCAGACUCCUACGGGAGGCAGCAGUGGGGAAUUUGCGCAAUGGGGGAAACCCUGACGCAGCAACGCCGCGUGGAGGAUGAAGUCCCUUGGGACGUAAACUCCUUUCGAUCGGGACGAUUAUGACGGUACCGAGAGAAGAAGCCCCGGCUAACUUCGCGCCAGCAGCCGC